rnacentral:rRNA from 1 species
GUCCUGAGUAAAGUGGCGCACGGGUGAGUAACGCGUAGAUAACCUGUCUUCAUGUCUGGAAUAAUACGCCGAAAGGGGUACUAAUACCGGAUAUUCUUGCUUUAUAUAAGUUUUGCAAGGAAAGGUGGCCUCUGUAUAUGCUACUGCAUGAAGAGGGGUCUGCGUACCAUUAGCUAGUUGGAGAGGUAACGGCUCACCAAGGCGACGAUGCGUAGCCGACUUGAGAGGGUGAUCGGCCACAUUGGAACUGAGACACGGUCCAGACUCCUACGGGAGGCAGCAGUGGGGAAUAUUGCACAAUGGGGGAAACCCUGAUGCAGCAACGCCGCGUGAAUGAUGAAGGCCUUCGGGUCGUAAAGUUCUUUGAUUGGGGACGAUAAUGACGGUACCCAAAAAACAAGCCACGGCUAACUACGUGCCAGCAGCCGCGGUAAUACGUAGGUGGCGAGCGUUGUCUGGAUUUACUGGGCGUAAAGGAUGCGUAGGUGGAAAUUUAAGUGGGAUGUGAAAUCCCCGGGCUCAACCCGGGAACUGCAUUCCAAACUGGAUUUCUAGAGUGCAGGAGAGGAAAGCGGAAUUCCUAGUGUAGCGGUGAAAUGCGUAGAUAUUAGGAAGAACACCAGUGGCGAAGGCGGCUUUCUGGACUGUAACUGACACUGAGGCAUGAAAGCGUGGGGAGCAAACAGGAUUAGAUACCCUGGUAGUCCACGCCGUAAACGAUGGGUACUAGGUGUAGGGGGUAUCAACUCC